rnacentral:lncRNA from 10 species
GAAGGAAGGAAGGAAACCAAUGCAUCUGAACUGAGCUGUCAGAAAAAAUAGCAGAAGUAGCAAAAAUGAGACACCUGCCUACCUCAAAGAAAGAAAGAAACAUAAACUGUGAUGCCAGCAAAAAUAACAGAAGCAGCAAAAAUGAGACACCUGCCUACCUCACUUUUGGCAUUCCAAUCUUGUUCAAGCACGUCUGACCGUCCAUGUUUAAAUCCAGAACUCUGGUUUCAAGAGAUUCU